AACGAACGCUGGCGGCAUGCCUAACACAUGCAAGUCGAACGAGGCCUUCGGGUCUAGUGGCGCACGGGUGCGUAACGCGUGGGAACCUGCCCUUAGGUUCGGAAUAACUCCCCGAAAGGGGUGCUAAUACCGGAUAAUGUCUUCGGACCAAAGAUUUAUCGCCUUUGGAUGGGCCCGCGUUGGAUUAGCUAGUUGGUAGGGUAAAAGCCUACCAAGGCGACGAUCCAUAGCUGGUCUGAGAGGAUGAUCAGCCACACUGGGACUGAGACACGGCCCAGACUCCUACGGGAGGCAGCAGUGGGGAAUAUUGGACACUGGGCGAAAGCCUGAUCCAGCAAUGCCGCGUGAGUGAUGAAGGCCUUAGGGUUGUAAAGCUCUUUUACCCGGGAUGAUAAUGACAGUACCGGGAGAAUAAGCUCCGGCUAACUCCGUG
rnacentral:rRNA from 1 species